GGUAACUUAGUCUUAUAAUCGUUAACGGAUCAACCACUCACGAAUCGGUGUAAAUUAUAAAGAAAAGUUAGCUUUAUUUUCCUGUCACCCCAACAGAAUAGUUUCUGAAAUUAAACAAAUCCAGACCAAAUCUUUUAAACUCAUACACUAUCAAGAUCUAUAGGGUCUUCUCGUCCUCCAACAUUAUCUCAGCCUUUUCACUAAGAAGUUAAAUUCAAUUAUGUUUCAAAUGAGACAGUUUGUACCUCGUCCAACCAUUCAUUCCAGCCUUUAAUUAAAAGACUAAUGAUUAUGCUACCUUUGCACGGUCAAAAUACCGCGGCCCUUCAAUUUUCAGUGGGC
rnacentral:rRNA from 1 species